rnacentral:lncRNA from 1 species
GUUUGUAGAAGGACCAUCAGUAGAGCCUUUACAUCAGAGCUUUUUAAUACUAGCCAUGAUUUUCUUCUGUGGGCUGUUUUUUAUUCUCCCUUCAGCCUCUGGGCAUCUGGAAGUCCACCACUCCACUGACUGCACAGACCCUGUCCAAGUAGUCAUCUUAUACAGGAGUCAAGACAUCUCCAAGUACCCCCCAUCUGGUCCUACCCUCCAGCCCACCCACAAAUAAUUAUGUCUAGUAUUAUAUAUCUGCUCAAAAAACAAGAGACCCAAGUGGAAAGCAGAAGCAAGCAUGGACUUGGCAUCUGAUUGUGGUCUGGAUCAGCGCAAUAUUAUUGGAGCCAACUGGAAAGGAAACCACCACCCAGAUCCA